CCUACGGGUGGCUGCAGUAAGGAAUAUUGGUCAAUGGCGGGAACGCUGAACCAGCCAUCCCGCGUGCAGGACGAAGGCCCUCCGGGUCGUAAACUGCUUUUAAGGGGGAAGAAACGUGCCGACGUGUCGGCACCUGACGGUACCCUUGGAAUAAGCACCGGCUAACUCCGUGCCAGCAGCCGCGGUAAUACGGAGGGUGCGAGCGUUAUCCGGAAUCACUGGGUUUAAAGGGUGCGUAGGCGGCCCGGUAAGUCAGGGGUGAAAGCUUCCCGCUC
rnacentral:rRNA from 1 species